UCUAGCGCAGGCAUGUCAAACUCAUAGACGACAGGUGUUUGGGCCGCAUAAAAUGUCGUCUGCGAAGCGCAAAUUUACUAAAUGCAAUGUUUGGACGACUUGCAGCCAGACUUUAAUUACAAGAGAAAGAUGUUUCUUUGCUGGCUAAACAUAGAUGAUAGAUGGGUAAACCUGCCUAUAGAUGUAUUAGCUGAUAUGUUCAAAAUUCAUCCCACAACUGCAUCUAAGAUAUUCAUAAAAGUUUUGGAUGUUAUGUAUGUCAACAUGUCCGAUUUGAUUUUCUGGCCCAAUAAGGAGAGUCUUAUUCAUACUUAUGGCAGGAAGCCUUUUAGAGACCACUGGGACAUUGUUCUUGGCUGCCUUUGGUAUGGGGAACUCUGAGGAACCAGCUAUUAAAGAAGAAACAAAUAACUGUCUAGAUGAUAGUGACUCAGAGAUAACAGAUAGUGUGCUGCUGGAAGUAAUUGAGGUGGUUGGCUACAUUUUGUAUGGAGUAUACAUUCUUGAUGCUGUCGUGGUCCUGAUCAAUAUGCUGUGAUGAAUUUGAAGACAUUUAGAAUGUCCAAAAGAUUAGUCAGCUAAGGAGCCUAAAAUGUUGGCCUGUUUACAAAUGUGAGAUCUUCCUUGACUACACAAGUACCUUACAGAAGAAGGCUACUCACUUGUGUUUGGAUAUGUCAGCUGUUUUGUCCCUGUGGCCCUUUUCAAGCAUGACAGAUACUAUUCUAAGCAGCUUUUUUCACUGGAAAUUAUUCAAUCACAGAAGCUGUGAGGGAUAUCUGAAAUCCAUUGCUUACUAGUCUAGAAAGACUUCCAUCCAUUGAGUGAUAAAAGAUUAAGCGUACACAACUUUUAGUAGUCACCACAUAACACAUUUUGAUGCUCAAGACAAUACUGUUCAUGAAUGGUUUAUUUUUCUUUAUGCUGAGAAUGUCCAAGAAGGAAAAGGUCAAAGGUUAAUUGGACAAACAAGUUAAUAAACUUUGUCUUUGAAUCUGAAAUUGUAGAACUUGUAGAGAAAAAAAAACAACUAAGUAGGACGUAAUCAUCUUCUUUUUUGAAGUAACGUCUGUAUUAUAUAAGAUAAGAUAAGAUAAAUGUACAUUUUUCUUUUUUUUUUUUUUUUUGGAAUAACAACUGAUAUUUAGUUUUAUCCCUUUGUAUUUUUCUACAGUAGAUGCACUGUCAUACUAAAUAGAAAUUUUAAAAAAUUAUAAUAACUUCUAAUCAAAUUGUCUCCCUUUUAAAAUCAAAUAUCUAAAUGAAUCAUGCUACUUUGAUUCUACACUAUCUACAGAACUACCAAUGUACAUUAGUUUUGAACAAAAAGUUGCUAACUUUAAAUAAUUGAUUAACACAUUUUGAUAUUUAUGUAUACCUUGUAAUAAAAGUGGUAUUCAUUUUACAAUUUCAUUUUUUUUUAUUGUAACUGGUCUGUGUUAAUUUCUUUUUUUUUUCAAAUUACUUUGUAUUGCCUAUAUGGGGAAAUGGUAUUUCUGGUGUUUCUUUGCUCAGCAAAAACAAAUCAGGAUUUGAACUCAAGCCCCCUUGACAGUGGUUUAUGCCAGAUAUCCAGCAUUUCAUGCAGUUUGUAUGCCAAAUUUGAUACAGUGCCCCAAAGAGGAAACCUUGCCUCAUUAAUGUUUGCUGCUCCAGACUUGCUUCUCUCUAUCUCAACUGAUCUAGGAAGCACUACAGCUUUGUUUCAGUCCACUGCAUUGGCUAGAGAGGAUUUCAGUCUCUCAGGCUGCAACUUAAAUGAAGUCUGAUGUGAUUUUAUUUAUAAAAAGUUGUAUGGAUGUCUUUAAGCUACAUAACUUAUCCUAGUCCAAUGUGUUGAUUGACAUAGUUACCAGGUACUGGUACUAAAAAAAUUGCCGCUUUUAUCCUCCCCUUCCAGCAACCCUUAGAUCUAGUUUUUCUAAAUUUCUAGUAGUUUAAUAGUGCUUUUCCAUAUGUCAUUAAAAAGUUAUGUUAAAAGUUAA